AUGUCUACUGACUGCCUUAGAAGGCCCAUUCGGCUCAGUAUUAAUACUUUCUCUCCCAGGACAGAGCAUACUUUUGGAAGUCCUUUUCUAUUGUGUAGCUGGGCAGUGACAGUGCCUGCUCCCGUGCGACUGCACACACUCACGUGCAUCUGGAGGUUGAUCAGCUGGAGCCUUGACACGGACGUGCAUGCUUGUCUGCUCUUCACCUGGACUGUAGCAGUCAGGUUUCAGUCAAGGGCUGCAUUGUUUUGGAUCAUUCUUCAGGACAGGAGCCUGAGGUUGGCCCUGUUGUUGCCCAGGGCCCUCUGGGAGAAGACAGCCCAUUUCUUCCUAUCCGGGAUGCUUUUGAUGACAUCGGAGCCACCUGGGCGAGCAGGAGACUCCAGGCUCUGGAGCUGUGGCUUACCCCCACCUGCUGAGUCCAUCCUGCCCCUCCCACACAUGGGGACACAGCCCAGGUGCAGGAGGAAAGGCCCUCGCUGGGGCAGGAGCCUCGGCCGUGCCCAGGUUGGUCAGGUGUUUGCUAAUCCACUCCUGGGCCUGGCGGGUGCAGGUGAUGCAGGUUCCCCGGAGCCUGGUGGUUCUGGGACUGAGAACCAAUGUGGAUCGGUGUACUGCUCAGGCUCGCCCAGGUCCAGAGUCCCCAUUGCUAAUCAUGGUUGCCCAUGGACGCCAUCAGUAUUUUCAGAUUGGUGAAAAGUUUCCUCACUUCCUUACAUUAAAAAAAAAAUCUAAAAUGUUUGGAGAACUGCACAUUAAAACCAAAACUGUCCAUUUCAGGAAAACUGGUAUACCUGGCCCACGGUUAAGGCUGGCUGGAGUUCGUCCUCUUCUCUUGCCGCUUCAGUCCUCUUUCCUUUCCUCCUCCUCCUCUCCAUUCCUUUAGAAGUUUUUACUUUCUUUCUUUUUUUAUUUUUUGAGGAGAAAGCCAAUGGGAAUCUCCGUUUCGUGGUUUCCAGAUAAGACUCGAGGCUUUGCCUCCACGCUGCCACUCACAUGCUUUCCCGGGCUGACGCAGAUUAGAAGAAGGGAUCGAUCUGUCCCUUCCCAGAGCACCAGUGUCCAGGGAGAGGCCACCUGUCGCCAUCACCAGCGCCUGCCGCGGGAGGCUGUGCACCCACAGGGUCUGGAGGGGCUGGCCGCUCCCUGAGGAAAGGGCAGCUGUGUGGAGCCUUCUUCUGCCCUCUUGCUGGGCCAGAGUUGCUUCUUAAGGAGGGACGGAGACUUAGGACAGGCAUGCUCGGUCCCUCAUCUGAAAAGCCUCUGGGGAGGAAGUGUGUGCUGGACACUGGCCGGCAGUGCCCCGUCUCUCCAGGUGAGUGUGGUGCUGACAGCAAGUGCUGGACUUUGGCCACUCCCUCAGAAACUGCCUUUCAAAUGAGGUUUCUUCAGGCGCCCCUCGAUGCCGCUGACAUCCAGGAUCCUUCAGGCGCCAGCUCCCCUGAACCUCAGGGGUGUGUCUGUGGGGUGGAAGAAGUGGCAGGCACCCAAGAGCCUGAGUCCCUGAGUGUCCUGAUGGGAGGAGGUGACCGGGACAGUCGGGAGUCCUCGGGAAAUCUCGGGUGACCCCUCCUUCAUGGGGCACCAUCUGCACUAUGGGUGUCUGUGUUGCCUGGCUCUGUGCUCUAUGGCGUGGUGGCCACUGGCCCCCUGUGGCUGUUUAAAUUAAAUUCAGUUCCGUAGCUGCAUUGGCCACAUUUUUAGGGUCUGAUAGCUGGCAUUGCUGGUACUUUCUUACACUGCCGACGAUGGGAUGUUGCAGUUGGAGCAUUCACUGCCUGCACUUCCCUGGCACCUAAACCCCCUGCCCUGGCCCUCUCCCAGUCCUUUGGGGCCUGCGUUGCCCUUUGUGUUCUAGAGAAACUGUGGCUUUCUGUUUUAAAGACAUCUCUUCUGGAAGAGUUUUGCUUAAAGAGAAUCAGCAGGCCCCGUGGCUCUUCCUCCCUGGCGCAGGUGCCCGAAGGUCCGAGUUCUGGAUUCACUUCUGCUCCUGGCUUCAGUGGAUUCGGCUUUGGGUUCUGACCUGAACUUCAUUCCCCUUUGCUUGGAGGCUGCGGUGAAGGCAGCAUGGAUCGCUUAGCAUCCGAGGCCUGAGGGUGUGAGGGGAGUGUGUCCUGCCCUGUGUCAGCUGGCCCUUCACGAUGGCCAUGGGACUUUCUGUUCGCGCCCAGUCCAGGAAUGGCAUUCAUUCGCACAGGCAGCUCCCGUACCCCUCCCUGAGUCCUGUCACUGUGGAAUGCCCCAGCAGUUGCCCCUGGCAUCCCCACGGUCACCUCAUUGGAUUCAGCCCAGUAGCGAAGUCUGCUGUGUGCCCAGUGGAGGAGGCCCUGCCCUGCAAAGUGACAGUCCAACCUGGCCCCAGGGAGCCCCUGGAUGCGGAUUGGGGUCAGCACAGGCCAGCAGACAUCCUGGCUGGUGCUGCUUUCUGGACAUGAGGAAUGCUUGUGAAGAAGAAGCAGAACUUAGAGCCCUGGUCAGACUCCCCGGAACCCCAUCUUUAACAUAGUUGUCUUGGCUGCAUUGCCUUCAAUGGUGUUUUUGUUUUGCAAAACCAAUUGUCUUCAAUGAGUCUUCUCAAAACAUUGACUUGGAUUUUCUUACUGAAAUUCUUACUUCAUCAUUGUGUGUAAGUUUCAUCAAAUGAUGUCAUUACUCAAAUUUGUCGAGCUGAUUUGCAUUGAUGUUUCCCCAAGUGAUGUCCUCACUGUCAGAACAGGUGGGUGGUGGAGCUUUGUACAGGACACAGCUGGCCCGAGGUCCCAGGCUGCUCUGGCAGGUGUCUCAGAGGUCUGGACACUCUGGCCAGGGCUGGCAGGCCGACGGCUGUUACCAUAUGGAACCCUCCAUCCUAAAUCCCCACCCCCAAGACCAGCCCAGGGGAGGCUGGAGGCCCCAUGUCCAGAGCCAGUUCCCACCCUUUCUCUGGCAGGCUGGCACCCCUAGUACCCUGCUCAGCUCCCCCUCCGCAGGCACAGUCCCCUCACUCUGCCUGGCCCUUCCUGUGCUGGCCAGGGGCCCUCUGGCUUCCCUGGGCUUCUGAGCUAACAGCUGAACACACUCGGUCCAUGCUGAGUAUUUGGGCUGCAAAGGUGCCCUGAGACCAACCUGGGUGGACGGACUCUGAGGUUCCCUUUCAGGGUAACCCAUGAGUUCACCUUUGGGAACAUAGUCUGAAAGCACCGGUGAAACCCUGCCGGCUCCUUGUCACCUGGCAUUCGGAUCUGCUGCACAGAGAAGCUGCACAGAGACACUGCCCAGCCUUCAUGGAGAGGCAUAAAGGGAGUGAGUGAGUUGCAUGCAGUAAGCUUCAUUUAUCUCCUCACUGCAGACACACAAGCAUUAACACAGGCAGUUGGCCAGCAGGGGCAUUAUGUGCGUUAUCUGCUCAUGGGACUGCAGGCAGAGAGGCAUUCAUGGCAGUGCCCUGGCUGGUUUUGAUAGAGAUGAUCAGGUUUUUCUUAAUGCUCUGAACACUUCCCACCCCUGAAGUUGCUGGUUUUGUGCACUGGGAAGUUCCUACCGGAGGAGCCCAGCCACAGCCUUAGGCCCAGUUAGUCCCGCACCACAGUGACCGAGGGCAGUUGCUCUCCUUCCCUGCAGACUUUAUCCAGAGCAGCAGUGGGGUGGGUACAUCAGGAGAGAAGGACCAAGAAGAGAAGAGAUAAAAGUAAACAAGACUCAGCAACUAGUUCUGAGUAUUGUCUGAAGUCCUUGGUUCAGGGUUUUUUUUUUUUUUUUUUUGAGU
rnacentral:lncRNA from 1 species